AUCAUUUAAAGAAAGCGUAAUAGCUCACUGGUCGAGUCGGCCUGCGCGGAAGAUGUAACGGGGCUAAACCAUGCACCGAAGCUGCGGCAGCGACGCUUAUGCGUUGUUGGGUAGGGGAGCGUUCUGUAAGCCUGCGAAGGUGUGCUGUGAGGCAUGCUGGAGGUAUCAGAAGUGCGAAUGCUGACAUAAGUAACGAUAAAGCGGGUGAAAAGCCCGCUCGCCGGAAGACCAAGGGUUCCUGUCCAACGUUAAUCGGGGCAGGGUGAGUC
rnacentral:rRNA from 1 species